GCUGCGUUUCGCACGCCUUUUCGCUGAGCCCGGCAGCUCCAGCCGCGGCUGCCGCCGAGGGGCGGCCGUGCGGCGGUGCCGGGGCCGCUCAGCCGCGGAGCGCUGGCCCUGCAAGAGCGGCUCUCAGAGUGUCCGGACACGGCCCACGCUCCCGCUCCUCCGCCUCCCCAAUGAACGCAGCAAGCCACAAACUUGGUUUCCCUCCGCUUUUGUGAGCGCCUGCAGCCUGCCGGCGGUAAAUAUCAGGCCAGUUCGUAACAACUCGUGUUCUCUUCAUGUUUAAUCAGAAGAAGGCUGGCGUGGGCUGCGUUCCUCGGGCAGCCGCCCCCAGCAGCGCCGCACCGCGCCUCAUGCCCACACAGCCUCCGUGACGCACAGAGCUGCUCGCAGCGCUGCGCUCCGGGCUGCGCUCCUUGGGAAAUCCCCCUGAGUAAAAGAGUCCUUUACUCAGGACCUGGCAGCUUCCGCUUCUCGAGCUGUGGAAGAGGCGUUUACACAGCUUGAAGAACUUUCACUUGUAUUUUACAACCAGAGAGCAAAGGCAGGCAGAUGGCUGCUGUCAGCACGUGAGUGGCUCUGCACUGCACCAAGCCUGAGAGCAGGCACUGCUGAUGGACUUCAGGUUCAUGUGGUCACUCUGUCCCUGGGGCUUUUGGCUGGGAAUGAAGCCAGAUUUCAACCAGAGAGAGAGACCUGGGCUUUGCUCCUGCAAAGUGACCUUCCUGUGGCCUUUCCUGCCUGGAGGACACUUGUACCUUGCAUCCAGCAUCUGCUAGCCCUAGCACCAGCAAAAAACCCUGUACCAGACUGUCUGCUUUAGUAGAGAGGAGGCACAACAAGCUCUGCUGCCCAAAGGCACAAGUCUCUGUAAGCAGAGCCCUUUUGGUGACAGCAAUGCUGGUGCUGACCAUCACCACUCCAUGAUGGAGAGCAAGGCUGGCAGGAGCCAUCCCAGCAUGCUGUGUGUGUGCAGGGCUGUGGGAGGCUGCCCUGUGCAUCUGGGCCCCACAUGGCCCUGGGAAAUUGCAGCUCACACCUGGCCACACGUCUUGGCUUCCCAGCUAAUGAGCUGCUAGCAUGUGAGCACUGGAAACAUCUCAAAUACAUGCAGGGAAGGUAUCUAAAUACACGUGAUAGGCAUGUGUUUAGAAUCUGAAGGAAACAGCCCAGCAAGGUUUUCUUACAUUCUGUCAUGUUUCUUUUUGCCUGUUUGUUUUGCUUUUGGCUUUCUGGAUGUUGUAAUACAAAAUAAAAUUGCAUUU